rnacentral:misc_RNA from 1 species
AUUAAAUAUCAAUUUAUUAAAUGACCAGAAUAGAAUUCUGUUACAAAUUUAGCGACUACGCUGCAAUUUACACUGAUAUCAUGUGGUUUUUUUUUAUCACCAAAAGAGAAAACAAAUAGAAUAUUAAGUCCAAUAAUUCGGCGUAUUUCAUUUGACCAUCCUCAUUACACAGAGAAAACAGUAAGAAGACAUUAUCAACUAAACAUGAAGUGACCAACAACGAUGUAAUGCUUCUAAAUGACAUGAGUUGGCCAACAAUUGGAAGUUUACGCUAGUUCUCGACAUCAGAAAACUAGGCUUCCUAGCAAUAUAGAAGUUAAGGUAACUGUGAGAUUGUCAUCGAGCCUGGUACUUAUGGGCAGUGAUUCUACGAAGGCAGAGGCAAGCGAGACCAUUAAGAAACCCAAUGCCAUUUCCCAACUUUCACGAACAUAUCCAAAUGAGGCAAAAUAAUGCAUGAACAAGACAGAUGCUAAAAACCCAGCCAGUGCCAUGGCAAUGCUACCAGCUAUGGAUUUAUCACUGUUGUAGGGGAUUUUCUUUUUGCCAAACCGCCUCCCCACAAUGUCUGCAAUUCCAUCUCCAGCACACAAGUUGCAUAUUGCUGCAAUUGCAAUUGGGGAUGUCCUCCAAUAGAUUGCACAAGCCAAAGUAACAGUCAAAGCAUAGUAGAGUGGUCCCUUAAGAAGUUCCCUGUGGUCCCCAAAUCUGCUCAUUGAUUUCACUGUGGCUUCAUCUUUCCAUAUCCCUAAACCCAAGAGAAGCAUUCGGAAUAUGUUGACACCUGGAGUAAGAGCUGCCAUAAUUGCUCCACGAUGCCCUGAACUGAACAUCGGCCAGCCAAGCAUGAAAACUAGACCAAUGCUUAUAUGCACAAGCUUCCGAUUCAGUUUCUGGUCGAGCCCAAGCUUGGCUGUUUCUUUCCACAGUUGAAGAAGUGAGAAAAUGACAGCGGCCGAUGCAACGGCGGCACAAACAUCGGAAACGACGGGGUCACCUAAGAACAUAGUGGCCACCGGCGCCGGCGAUACAAGUGUACUGUUUUAGCUGUGGAUUACUUUUCGAUAUUACUACAGCUGUGUGCA